rnacentral:lncRNA from 1 species
UCUCCAAAAGUCUUUACCCCCCAGAAACCAAGAAACAAAAUCAAAAGGCUGCACAUAAACCCCCACUCUAUACCCCUUCACCAAGACAUAUUAGCAAUUCAAAGAAUUACUAGUACUCCAUUGACAACACACACCCAGACCAGGACACACCUAGCUACUGCAAACAACAGGAAGCUUAAAUUCUCUCUCUCCCUCUUUCUCUCUCUCUCUCUCUCUUCUUGCCC